AAAUACAUCUAGGGACCUAAAUUAGACCUAGACCCUAGGAUAUACAGAUCAGCCGCUUUUCAACAAAUAUAAGACCCCCCCCCCCCUCGAAUCAUCUUUUUCACAAACCCCCGCCCCUUGACUUCAUUCUUCAUCAUCAGCCAUCUUCGACCAAAAGCACCCCACCCUCAUCGUCUCUCUCUUCUUUUUCAAAGGACCAGCAACGCCAUUAGCAGCAGAACCGGCGAACCAGAAGACCCCACGCCUCACCCCUUUGUUCCGUUAUUGCCUCACCGGCGAGUGGCUGGAAACCGGUAACACCCCUUCAUCUUCAACCUCCCUGAACCAGCGCUGCAAAUUACCACUGCUUAGCCCCAAAAAAUCAGUCAUUCCUCACCCUCUUCACACUUAAUUAAACCUUAAUUAAUCUUCUGAUUUUGGUUUUUCAUAUUUGAUUUCAGUUUGUUUUUAGUUUGAUUUAAUUCAAAAAUCAGGAAAAAAGAGAUUCAGUCUUGUUUUGACCGUUCGUUUGUGGAAACUGAUUGAGAGGCCGUGGAGUUCGGAGUUUCGACCGCUGUUCAGUCCGAUUGAGUUCAUGAUUAGGGUAUUGAAGUGAGGUUUUGUGGUUCCAACUGAGUGUUAUUGUUGUCUUGAGGCUGAUUGUAUUCGUGGUUCUAUUCUGUUGGUGUAACUAUUGGAACUCUCUUUAAAGGAAAGCACAUUUCAGGUUCAUCUUUUCCCUUAUCGUUUCUUCCUUUAGUAUUGAUUUAUGCUCGAAAGAGGUAUUCGAUGCUCUGCUUGGUUGCUUUGAUACAUUGAAAUGCAUUUGAGGCGCUGCCAUUAUUUUCCUUCUAUUUUGUUGGGUUUGACACAAAUUCUACUUCUCUACUUCUGGAUUGGAGUUUUCUUUUAGAAUUGUUGUUGAGCUGAAGGUUUGCGUAAAAGAAAUAGCUACUGGGUUUCGAAUCUACAUUGAGUUGACAUUGAAAUUAAUAUAGUUCAGAUUCUAUGUUAAUGUUUGAAUGCUUAAUUCGUUGUUCUAGUUGGAAUAAUAUUCAUGUUUUGAUCAAGUAUAUCGUUCUCUGUUGUUUGGAUUAGAAUUUGGUUUGUGAUCCAUAUAUUGUUGGCUUAAGGAGGAUUCUUGUGAUUCUGGAUUGAAGUUGGAUAUUUUUUUUUGGUUGUUGUUUUACUGCUUUUGAGCUGUGAUGGUUGUUAUUGAAGUUUGGUGGCAUGGAUAUAAACUUGUGAAAGGUAUUUCUUUUUGAGACGUUUGGAAUCUUGCUGAUGUAAAGAUUCGAAAGCACAAUUAGACAAUCAGGGACAGCUUCCAUUUCGAAUUUUUUGAGAUUCUUUAAGGUUUUCCGGUGUCAAUUCAGAGUGUACGUUCGCAUAACUUCAAAUAAACUUCCUUAAUAAUAAAAUUGGUUUUCAUAGGCUACUAAUAGCCCAGGGUGUGCCAUCCACGAUUUAAUCAUACAUGGCCCUCAUAUAAAUUUCUUAUGACUUAGAUAUUAAAAAUGAACUUCAUAGAAAAGCCUUUAGGCGCGUUAAUUAAAUAAAGUGUCAUAGCUACGGGUAUGGUUCCCGUGACGUAGUUGUGACACACAAUUUCCAAAUUCGGGGGUGCAUUUCGUGUGACCCGAUCUUAAUUUCCAACAAGGUUAAAUAGAAUGUGUCGUGAAUCACGGGUGCAUUUCAUGUAGCGUGAUUUGCGAUACGUUUUAAAUAACCUUGGAAUAAUUCCCUAAAUAAAUAAAAGCGGUUUUAAAGUUAAAAUGCACNNNNNNNNNNNNNNNNNNNNNNNNNCAGACCANCUUGAUGCAUCCUAUGUGCUACAUGUUGCAUUUCUUCAAGGGUAAAGGGUCAUUUAGCGGAUCAAUGAUAGUUGAGGGCAAAUGAAAAAGAAAAAAAAUAGAGAAAGAAAAGAGGUUGAAGUAUAAAAAUGAAGCAAGUGGGGCCCAGUUAUAAUUUUCUUGCACACCUUUUCAAAAAGAAAAAACCAAAAAAUUGAAAAUGAAGAAAAUCCAAAAAGAGUUUACAUGUUUCAUCAGUUUUCAAAAAGACAAACAUAUUUUUCUCUAAAUUAGUUUUUUUUUAUUCUCGCCCAUAUCCAAUCUGCCCGAACUAUGCAUACCUGAUUCUCGUCUUUCGGGCCGUGAUACGUAGGAAACCCACAUAGGGUCCGGUCUUCCUAGUAAAUCUUAGGUUUUCGGCUUUGCGGGGUCUUAGCCAAAUUUUGCACUUCUAGCCAUCUUUUUGCCAAAUAAGUUAUUUUGCAAAAAUAACCUCAAUCAUGUCUUGCAUGUGUCUAAUAGGGAGUGUUAUUAUGUCACAUAGUGUUGGUUAAAGUUUUCUCAUACAGGUGUGGGUCUAUUUACCAGAGUUUGAGCAUGACAGACACCCCGGGACCAUCCAGUCAGGAUCGCUCAUCUAGGAGUUGCUUAAUGUCGAGUUGUUUUUAUUUUAUGUCAUCUUUUA
rnacentral:lncRNA from 1 species